UACGGAGGGUGCGAGCGUUGUCCGGAAUCACUGGGCGUAAAGGGCGCGUAGGCGGCUUGAUAAGUAGGAGGUGAAAUCCUGCGGCUUAACCGCAGGGCUGCCUUUGAUACUGUCGAUCUGGAGUAUGGAAGAGGUGAGUGGAAUUCCGAGUGUAGAGGUGAAAUUCGUAGAUAUUCGGAGGAACACCAGUGGCGAAGGCGGCUCACUGGUCCAUUACUGACGCUGAGGUGCGAAAGCGUGGGGAGCAAACAGG
rnacentral:rRNA from 1 species